GCAUGCAGCCCCCAGUCACGUACCCCCUGCUUGCUCAAUCAAUCACGACCCUCUCACACAGACCUCCUUAGAGUUGUAGGCCCUUAAAAGGGACAGGAAUUGCUCACUUGGGGAGCUCGGCUUUUGAGAUGCAAGUCUGCUGAAAUUUCCAGCUGAAUAAAGCUCCUCACUUCUUUAACCCGGUGUCUGAGGAGUUUUGUCUGUGGCUUGUUCUGCUACAUUUCUUGGUACCCUGACCAGGAAGCGAGGUGAUUAACAGAGGCCAAGGCAGCCCCUUAGGCAGCUUAGGCCUGCCUUGUGGAGCAUCCCUGUGGGGACUCCAGCCAGCUUGAGCGAUGCAGAUCCUGAGAGCGCUCCUGGGUAGGCAUUUGCCCCAGUGGAACGCCUCCUCAGAGCAGUGCACGGCAGGCCCCCGCAGAGGGUCAACGCAGUGGCUGAACACCGGGAAAGAACUGGCACUUGCAGUCUGGACAUCUGAAACUUGGCAAAUACAUUGGAGACUUCUCAACUUUCUGCUUCUGAUGAUCUCAACUUGUGGUAUGGCAAAAGGAGAGCAAAAUGUUCACCCAGGGGUCUGAGUUUGGUUCAAGAGAGGAACUACAGCUGUUGGUGACUACAACCAUCUGCCCAGAUGACAUCGUGAUCAACUCCUCUGAAUCACUCUAAAGGAACGAGAAGUCCUGGCAGCUGAGUCAUGAUCCCCCAGGAGCCAUUAAGAAGUUAAUCUUCAGUCACUUCCAUCCAAACAGAAGAAAACCCAUGAAGGAUGAGAACUAUGGGUCCUGAGAAUGACAGGUAAUUGGUGCCACUUUAUUCACAGAAUCCAAUAAAUAGUACUCUUUGAUUCACAUAUUUAAUGCUCAUUAUUGUACAUUUUUAUAAAGACAAGUUAGUCUAAAUUGCCAUUCAUCUCUUUCUUAUCAAAGUCCUACCCAACACAUGAUCAUAUCAUCAGAAAUCAGAUAUUUUCUUGUUGAAUGCCCUACCUAACUCAUUCAAUUGUAAUUUUCUGGGAAUGGUGACCAGAGAUUUGAUAUUUUUGGAAGUUACAUCAAAUCCUCAUUACUUUAUAAGUGAUUUAAAAUUUAUCACAUGGUACACUUUUCAUAUCUUUCAAAGGAUUAAUAUAUAAAAAAUAUAUAGUUAAUGCUCAGCUUUAAAGACAUUAAAGGACAGAGUUAUACAGAAAGAAAGAUCCAGAGAUCUUUCUUUAAUAAAGAUAUUAAAAUUGAAUCUGCUUAUUCAAGUAUAAUGAUAGAACAGAAAGAGAUCUUAAAAUUGUUUAAUCUCUUCCUUGGCUUUCAAAAAUAUAAAGUCUUCUUUAUUGGAGAUUUCUUUAUCCAUAGAAUAUCUUAAUUCCCCACUCCCCAACUUCCUCCCCAUGUGAAGUUUUAUCUGUCUUUAAAAUAUUUGUGUUGUCUUCUUCAGGAUAUAUCAUUGAUUGGCACUUUUUGAUUCUAGUUUUAUAUACUGUUAUCCUUGUAUAUUAAAGUAGGUCUCAAAUAUAUCUUUCAUGGUGGUGUGUAAGGUUCUGAGAGAGCUGGAAAAAAGGUAUAAGCUCCCUUCUAAAGUGCAAGUAUAUACUUGCAGAGAUAUUUUUUCACUUACAUUCUUGGAGAUCAUCCAUGGUCUCCCCAUGUCUUUUACAAAAGAGGUUUCCAGCACCUAUUAGGGAAGCUAGAUGGUCACUUGUAUCUUCCUUAUCUCUGUAUUAGAUGAUAAUAUCGAAUGCAGGUAAGUGGUGGUGGGGAGAGUAAUAUUGACAGAAUAGUUAUAUGGCAAACAUUGGCACCUCAGAAAUUUUUUGCUUUUUUGAGGGCUCUUAUUAAUAUUUGCAAACUUUAAAAAGCCUUGAAAAGAGUUUUAUCCAGAGCUCACCACAUAUAGAAAAACAGAUCUCUCUUGUUAUGGGAAUUGAGGCUAGUCCAAAUUCCCCCAGAUUAAACAUCUUUCCUCAUUUGGCACAUUCUUCAGCUGUUCCUUAAGAAAAAAUCAUACUAAGGAAAGUUAAUUCUGGGAAGUCUAGAAUUAGAAUAAAAUUAUUACACUAAAAGGAAAGCCCAGAUAUCUCUUUAAAAAUGCUUAAUUUUUUUGAAAACUCACAUCAGCACCAGAUCAUUUCUUUAAUGUGUACAGAUUUCCUUUCUUCAUUGACUAAAUAGCUUUGCUAAACGAGAUUAAAACCACAUAACUCAAAUGAGACAUAUAAGAUCUUGAAUAAUGUUCACAUAGCUACAACAUCAAAUUCCAGUGCUAAUAUAAAUUAUGUCUACUACGUUUUCAUUUAUUUGGGAUUAUCUGUUUGCCUCAAGUGGUGUAAAAAAAUUGAGCAGGAACCACCUGAAACUUCCUUUCACAACAAGAGAAAGUUGUAAUUUGUAUUUACUUUACCUAGCUUUCUUUAUAUGAAUGUAGCCAAGAAGCAGGGGAGGAAGGACAAUUACAGGAAAUUGUGAUAGGAAACUAUUAGGAAAAGCAAUUUGUAAUUUCUGCUAAAACUCUAGGUAAAUAACCCUGAGCAUUCAUAGUCUGGCAAGU
rnacentral:lncRNA from 1 species